CCAGGUUUUCCUCUGCACCUGCUCAAAGUGGUCUUCCUGUCUUUUUGGUGAAGCCAUGUUGGAGCCUCAGGAAACUUCCCAACCAAGGACUCUGAAGCAUCUCCCUUGCAGAUGCUCUCUCAGCCACAGCAGACUGCAUUCCCCACAUUCCAGAGCCAUGUGGAAACCAUUGUUUGCAUCUGUGCAUUUCCAACAGUGGGGCUCUCCUGGAUGCCUCUGGACUAGUGUGAGGCUCCAUGGUUGCAGUGCAGAGCCUGCUUGCUGGUCAGUGGGAGCUGCAAGGCUGUGGCCAGGUGGGGAGCUGACAGACAGGCAAGCAUCACCCAGGUAUCUCUGGUUUUGGUCUACAAUCCCAUAGCACACAUUCAGAAUAUAAGCAAAAGCAUCUGGGACAUCCUCCUCCUCCAAAGAUUCUCCCUCCACUUCUCUGGUUUCUCGCUCUAGGUAUAACAUGCCUGAGAAGUGAGCAGUGCAGACAGCUGCUCCUCACCCCAAAAGCCCCUUUCCUGGUCUUGUGCUCUGUGUUCCCCAUGGCCUAAACUGUCCUUCCCAUGCAUGUCUCACAGAAGGGCUCCUGGUUCCCUGUCCACUCCCCAUUUCUCCUAAGCAGAGCCAACUGGCUUCUGCUCCCACAUUACCAAAAUGCCUCCAGCUAGAGCCAGGGCUUUGGUCAGAGUGACUCCUGCCCAAUGGACCCACUAAGGUGGGGUCUCCUGGGGGCAUCUAGUGACAGGAUCCUCCAGGCCUCCUUGUUUUCUCUGGCCCAGCCAGCUGCCACCUCCCCCCUCUCCUCCUAGCCUGCUCUAUCUCCUGCCUCCAUGUGCUCCCACCUCCUGGAGAUGGAUGUGACCUGGAAUCCUAUCAAUGCACCACACCCUUCCUGCUCCUUACCCUGCCUUGGUGGCACCUGGUCCCCAAGGGUCCAAACAUGGGAACUUCUCCUCCUCCCAGGCCUCUCCUCUGAGAUCCCAGGAGCUCCAUGAUCCAACAGGGUCCGUACUUUACUUUGUAAAGGCCUGAGGUCAGGACUCCCUUUCCACAUACACCUGCUGCCCUGGCCUGCCUCUGCAGAGACACACAGGGUCACCACUCCUGCUCUCCUUCCCCACCCCGCCUCCCCUCCAGGCCCCUGAUCUUCCUCCUAGAUGGCUCUCAGGUCAGGUUCCACCUCAUUUCCUCUCAGGAAGCUCUCACUGGCUGUCACCUGGCUGGCUUACUCGGGUCCCCAGUGACUGGCCCUGCUUGCUGCCCACCCUCCUGCUCCUCCCUCACAGGCCAUCAGCAUGGUCUGGCCACCCUCUUCUUAUGUGCUCUGUGGCUUCUUGCUGCUUCUAGGGAAGCCCAAGUCUCUUGACCCAGCACCUAAGGACUGCAGCCCCGCCUUCCACCUCCCUCCCUGUGUCUCCAGAGUGAAAGAUCCUAAGUGUCCCCAACAUCCCCUCCACCCCAGCAGACGUCAUGUGCCACACAGACACCUGCCAGAGACAUGCAGCACGCAGCAUGAAGUGCUCUCCCGACACCCACCCAGGGCUCUGCCUGUGGACUGCUCUGUGUGCACUACGGCCUCGUUCUGUGAUGUGGGGCACCCCCAGAGCUGCCUUGAAGAACUGGGAUAGCUCUGCUCCUCAGUCAACGCCUCAACUCCUGCCCCUUCCUCAGGAACAGCACCGCCCAAGGUGUGGUCCAAGGACCCAGCCUGAGGAAUGUGGGCACCUUCUUCAGGCAGUGUUUCUGGGCCCAUCAAAUUGGAAUCUUUGAGGAACAAGUGAAAAGGCGCGAAGAAAGCAGAAGCGAUGUUCAUGCUUGUGGUGUUUAAAAUCUCCACUUCUCAUUUAAUCAUUCCAUGUAAGAAUGAAUAAAUUCUAAGGCCACUUUAUAAAUGAGACACGGAAACUCUGAAAGGUUAGUUAACUUUCUUAAGGUCACACAGCUGGAACAUCUGACCUCCAGCUGUGAACACCGUGAAACCCACUUGCCUGUACCCACCUUUCCCCGUCCUGCCUCACCACCCAUGAUCCCACCCUGCAGGACUCUGCGGGUCCCUCCUCCUCUCCUUCACAGUUGGCUGGGGCCUCCUGGUACAGUAAGCCCAGUGCUGCUCUGCUGCUCAAACUUUGCCACAUGCUUGUUGUAGCCCCAGCCCCAUGGUUCUAGGAAAAACUUCUCACUUCCAGACCCAAAUCCUCCUGCUGUCUAACCCUAAACUCCUGUUGAAAAGGCCUGAGAGGAGGGCUGAGCCUCAAACUGGAAAUUCUAAAUGAAACCAAGAAGGCUAACAUGGGGUUCUCGGCCACCCACCUGAAGGACAUCGCUGCCACACGGCUUUCUUUAGGCCAGUGCUUCUUGCAACACAGUUUACUGCACAGUUUAAGUCUAAAAUAUUUAUAAGAACACACACAGAGUUGGCCAUUCUUUUAUUCUCCCACUUUUUUUAUUGGUGCAUUAUAGUUGUACAUAAUGGUGAUAUUUGUUGUUAUAUAUUUGCACAUGUGCACAAUAUCACUAUUGGCCAACAUCAUUCGCAGUAUUUCCCCUUUCCUUCCCCUCCUCCUUACCUCUGUCCCUUUUUCUAUUCUACUGAUCUCCCUUUUAUUUUCAUGAGCUCUCCCACCUCUCUUUUCCUUUUUCAUCAUUAGCUUUCACAUAGCAGAUAAACAUACCACCUUUAACUUUCUGAGUUUGGCUUUAUUUUGCUUGACAUACUGGUCUCAAGUUCUAUCCAUUUUCCUGCAAAUGGCAUAAUUUCAUUUUUCUUUAUGGCUGAAUAAAACUCCACUGUAAACAUGGGUGUGCAAAUACUGCUGUAGUACGCUGACUUUAAUUCUUUAGGCU
rnacentral:lncRNA from 1 species